UACGUAGGUGGCAAGCGUUGUCCGGAAUUAUUGGGCGUAAAGCGCGCGCAGGCGGUCCUUUAAGUCUGAUGUGAAAUCUCGCGGCUCAACCGCGAGCGGUCAUUGGAAACUGGGGGACUUGAGUGCAGAAGAGGAAAGCGGAAUUCCACGUGUAGCGGUGAAAUGCGUAGAGAUGUGGAGGAACACCAGUGGCGAAGGCGGCUUUCUGGUUUGUAACUGACGCUGAGGCGCGAAAGCGUGGGGAGCAAACAGG
rnacentral:rRNA from 1 species